GAAGAAGGCCUUCGGGUUGUAAAGCACUUUUGUCCGGAAAGAAAUCCUGAGGGCUAAUAUCCUUCGGGGAUGACGGUACCGGAAGAAUAAGCACCGGCUAACUACGUGCCAGCAGCCGCGGUAAUACGUAGGGUGCGAGCGUUAAUCGGAAUUACUGGGCGUAAAGCGUGCGCAGGCGGUUUGUUAAGACCGAUGUGAAAUCCCCGGGCUCAACCUGGGAACUGCAUUGGUGACUGGCAAGCUAGAGUAUGGCAGAGGGGGGUAGAAUUCCACGUGUAGCAGUGAAAUGCGUAGAGAUGUGGAGGAAUACCGAUGGCGAAGGCAGCCCCCUGGGCCAAUACUGACGCUCAUGCACGAAAGCGUGGGGAGCAAACAGGAUUAGAUACCCUGGUAGUCCAACGCCCUAAACGAUGUCACUAGUUGUUGGGGGAUUCAUUUCCUUAGUAACGUAGCUUACGCGUGAAAGUUUGACCGCCUGGGGGAGGUACGGUCCGCAAGAUUAAAACUCAAAGGAAUUGACGGGGACCCGCACAAGCGGUGGAUGAUGUGGAUUAAUUCGAUGCAACGCGAAAAAACUUACCUACCCUUGACAUGGUCGGAACCUUGGAGAGAUCUGGGGGUGCUCGAAAGAGAAC
rnacentral:rRNA from 1 species